rnacentral:pre_miRNA from 1 species
AAUAAGUGCAGUUUUACACUAUUCACGUUCAACAUUUGACCGUCCAUCUUAUUUGAAAAUUUUUUAUGAUUAGUAUUUUUAUUGCUAUUAGAUGAUAAAACAUGAAUAGUACUCUAUGUGUGACUAAAUGUUUUUAAUUUUUUCACAAAUUUUUCAAAUAAGACGGACGGUCAAACGUUGAACGUGAAUAGUGCAAAACUGCACUUAUU